rnacentral:tRNA from 1 species
GGAGAGGUGCCAGAGCGGCUGAAUGGGCUGGUUUCGAAAACCAGUUGGCCCGCAAGGGCCACGGGGGUUCGAAUCCCCCCCUCUCCGCCA